rnacentral:rRNA from 1 species
UACGUAGGGUGCGAGCGUUAAUCGGAAUUACUGGGCGUAAAGAGCUUGUAGGCGGUCUGUCGCGUCUGCUGUGAAAAUCCGGGGCUCAACCCCGGACUUGCAGUGGGUACGGGCAGACUAGAGUGUGGUAGGGGAGACUGGAAUUCCUGGUGUAGCGGUGAAAUGCGCAGAUAUCAGGAGGAACACCGAUGGCGAAGGCAGGUCUCUGGGCCACUACUGACGCUGAGAAGCGAAAGCAUGGGGAGCGAACAGG